GACAUUUGGUAGAGACUGUUGAAGCCACCUGGUCCUAGCAGACCCCAGAGAUCGGCCACAUUCACUGAUGCUGGAACAAGGUCAUUAAGGGUGAAGCCUGGUGCCAGAUGUGU
rnacentral:rRNA from 1 species